rnacentral:rRNA from 1 species
CCUACGGGUGGCAGCAGUGAGGAAUAUUGGUCAAUGGGCGCGAGCCUGAACCAGCCAAGCCGCGUGAAGGAUGACUGCCCUACGGGUUGUAAACUUCUUUUAUAAAGGAAUAAAGUGAGGCACGUGUGCCUUUUUGUAGGUACUUUAUGAAUAAGGAUCGGCUAACUCCGUGCCAGAAGCCGCGGUAAUACGGAGGAUCCGAGCGUUAUGCGGAUUUAAUGGGAUUAAAGGGAGCGUAGAUGGGUUGUUAAGUCAGUUGUGAAAGUUUGCGGCUCAACAGUAAAAUUGCAAUUGAUACUGGCAGCCGUGAGUACAGUUGAGGUAGGCGGAAUUCGUGGUGUAGCGGUGAAAUGCUUAGAGAUCACGAAGAACUCCGAUUGCGAAGGCAGCCUACUAAACUGCCACUGACGUUGAUGCUCGAAAGUGUGGGUAGCAAACAGGAUUAGAUACCCGAGUAGUC